rnacentral:tRNA from 1 species
GCGGGGGNGGCCGAGCCAGGUCAAAGGCGCCAGACUCAAGAUCUGGUCCCUCAGGGGUUCGGGGGUUCAAAUCCCCUCCCCCGCACCA